UACGAAGGGGGCUAGCGUUGCUCGGAAUUACUGGGCGUAAAGCGCACGUAGGCGGACCGAUAAGUCGGGGGUGAAAUCCUGGAGCUCAACUCCAGAACUGCCUUCGAAACUGCCGGUCUUGAGUUCGGGAGAGGUGAGUGGAACUGCGAGUGUAGAGGUGAAAUUCGUAGAUAUUCGCAAGAACACCAGUGGCGAAGGCGGCUCACUGGCCCGAUACUGACGCUGAGGUGCGAAAGCGUGGGGAGCAAACAGGG
rnacentral:rRNA from 1 species